rnacentral:rRNA from 1 species
UGCAGUCGACGGUACAGGAAGCAGCUUGCUGCUUCGCUGACGAGUGGCGGACGGGUGAGUAAUGUCUGGGAAACUGCCUGAUGGAGGGGGAUAACUACUGGAAACGGUAGCUAAUACCGCAUAACGUCGCAAGACCAAAGAGGGGGACCUUCGGGCCUCUUGCCAUCGGAUGUGCCCAGAUGGGAUUAGCUUGUUGGUGGGGUAACGGCUCACCUAGGCGACGAUCCCUAGCUGGUCUGAGAGGAUGACCAGCCACACUGGAACUGAGACACGGUCCAGACUCCUACGGGAGGCAGCAGUGGGGAAUAUUGCACAAUGGGCGCAAGCCUGAUGCAGCCAUGCCGCGUGUAUGAAGAAGGCCUUCGGGUUGUAAAGUACUUUCAGCGGGGAGGAAGGGAGUAAAGUUAAUACCUUUGCUCAUUGACGUUACCCGCAGAAGAAGCACCGGCUAACUCCGUGCCAGCAGCCGCGGUAAUACGGAGGGUGCAAGCGUUAAUCGGAAUUACUGGGCGUAAAGCGCACGCAGGCGGUUUGUUAAGUCAGAUGUGAAAUCCCCGGGCUCAACCUGGGAACUGCAUCUGAUACUGGCAAGCUUGAGUCUCGUAGAGGGGGGUAGAAUUCCAGGUGUAGCGGUGAAAUGCGUAGAGAUCUGGAGGAAUACCGGUGGCGAAAGCGGCCCCCUGGACGAAGACUGACGCUCAGUGCGAAAGCGUGGGGAGCAAACA